rnacentral:rRNA from 1 species
UGGGGAAUAUUGGACAAUGGGGGCAACCCUGAUCCAGCGAUGCCGCGUGAGUGAAGAAGGCCUUAGGGUUGUAAAACUCUUUCAGGGGGUGAAGAUAAUGACGGUAACCCCAGAAGAAGCUCCGGCUAACUCCGUGCCAGCAGCCGCGGUAAUACGGAGGGAGCUAGCGUUGUUCGGAAUUACUGGGCGUAAAGCGCGCGUAGGCGGCUUUGCAAGUAGAGGGUGAAAUCCCGGGGCUUAACCUCGGAACUGCCCCCUAAACUGCAGAGCUAGAAUACCUGGAGAGGUGAGUGGAAUUCCUAGUGUAGAGGUGAAAUUCGUAGAUAUUAGGAAGAACACCAGUGGCGAAGGCGACUCACUGGACAGGUAUUGACGCUGAGGUGCGAAAGCGUGGGGAGCGAACAGGAUUAGAUAGCCCUGGUAGUCCACGCCGUAAAACGAU